rnacentral:rRNA from 1 species
AUUGAACGCUGGCGGCAUGCCUUACACAUGCAAGUCGAACGGCAACACGGAGCUUGCUCUGGUGGCGAGUGGCGAACGGGUGAGUAAUAUAUCGGAACGUACCCAAGAGUGGGGGAUAACGUAGCGAAAGUUACGCUAAUACCGCAUACGAUCUAAGGAUGAAAGCAGGGGACCGCAAGGCCUUGUGCUCCUGGAGCGGCCGAUAUCUGAUUAGCUAGUUGGUGGGGUAAAGGCCCACCAAGGCAACGAUCAGUAGCUGGUCUGAGAGGACGACCAGCCACACUGGAACUGAGACACGGUCCAGACUCCUACGGGAGGCAGCAGUGGGGAAUUUUGGACAAUGGGGGCAACCCUGAUCCAGCAAUGCCGCGUGAGUGAAGAAGGCCUUCGGGUUGUAAAGCUCUUUUGUCAGGGAAGAAAAGGCUGUGGCUAAUAUCCAUGGCUCAUGACGGUACCUGAAGAAUAAGCACCGGCUAACUACGUGCCAGCCGCCGCCGUAA